rnacentral:rRNA from 1 species
AGCAGUCGCCGCGGGAAUACGGAGGGAGCUAGCGUUAUUCGGAGUUACUGGGCGUAAAGCGCACGUAGGCGGCUUUGUAAGUUAGAGGUGAAAGCCUGGAGCUCAACUCCAGAAUUGCCUUUAAGACUGCAUCGCUCGAAUCCAGGAGAGGUGAGUGGAAUUCCGAGUGUAGAGGUGAAAUUCGUAGAUAUUCGGAAGAACACCAGUGGCGAAGGCGGCUCACUGGCUCAUUCUAGACGCUGAGGUGCGAAAGCGUGGGGAGCAAACAGGAUUAGAUACCCCGGUAGUCCCUGUCUCUUAUAA